GGUUUAUGAACUGUCCCCUAGUUCAGAGUAAACUGUCAUUUGGGAGUGAUAACAAGAGGAUAAAGACAUCACAGAUGGGGAGAAGGAAGCUGGACUUCUGUCUUGAGGCAGGCCAUGAAGAAAGGAUAGGAGUUUAAUAAGAAACUAUAUAAUUCUCAGAAAAGCAGAAGCUGUGUUUUGAAUAAAAGUCUUGGGAUUCGGCAGGAAGAUCCUACAAUAAGGAAGACACCAUCAGAGCUGCCCAUCCUCCCCAGCACUAAAGAAAGAAAAGAUUUACUUUGUCUGGGUUAUGGAGAUUUUCUUGUUGACUGGGCUCAUAGCUUCAGACCUGAAGAGAGGUAGACUAUGGAAAUGGGAGCUCCUUUUGGAGGAUUCUGCUUAUCUUGGAGUAAUUGGUAAAUACUGAGGAAGCCUAACAUGUUGGUCCACCACCUUAUCCCUUGCUGAGAAUAAAGUCUCCUGGGAACUGGGUAAGAAGGGUAAGCAGGCAUGGCUAACAAGUCAAUCCAGGUGGGUAAACAUUUGUCCAUUAGGUAUACAGGGGGAGCAUUUCAUUGACUAAGCUGAAUGUAUCUACUCUCCACUAUGUUCUAAUUCCAUGUAAGGAAAGUUUUGUAUAUUUUGUCAAUCCUGUGACCCAGCAAGUGUUUUUCACAUUCUUUAUGCUGUUUCUUCACUGAUAUGAACCAUGUGAGACUGGAGGGAGCAAAGGAAAGCCACAGACAACAACAUUCUACAUUCUAGAAGAUCAAGGCCUUCUCAUAAAAAAAAAAAAUAAACAUCUUUGUAUCUAUGAAUUGAGCAAUGAGGUAAAGUGCUACCAACCUCUGGUCAUGCAGCUGAUAUCUGGUACACUGGUCUAUUGACUAAGAAUUCCAUGGGGGAAAAAAAAGCAUCAAAAAUUAGCAUGAGAUAAAAAAAGAACUUAAGAUCCCGGCCCGCAGCAGCUCUCUGCUCCCAGACCCGGUGAGAGAGAGACCCAACCGCCUGGUCAGGUGGGCACUCCUGAGGCUGCAGAGCAGAAGAGACCAACAACACUGCUCACCCCUGCCCACAUC